ACUUGCUUUCUUUGCUGGCGACCGGCGCACGGGUGAGUAACACGUAUCCAACCUACCCUUUACUCGGGGAUAGCCUUUCGAAAGAAAGAUUAAUACCCGAUAGCAUAAUGAUUCCGCAUGGUUUCAUUAUUAAAGGAUCCGGUAAAGGAUGGGGAUGCGUUCCAUUAGGUUGUUGGUGAGGUAACGGCCCACCAAGCCUUCGAUGGAUAGGGGUUCUGAGAGGAAGGUCCCCCACAUUGGAACUGAGACACGGUCCAAACUCCUACGGGAGGCAGCAUG
rnacentral:rRNA from 1 species